GUCGAGCAAGGAUGAAAAUCGGACUUAGUGAUCCGGUGGUUCUGCGUGGAAGGGCCAUCGCUCAACGGAUAAAAGCUACCCUGGGGAUAACAGGCUUAUCUCCCCCAAGAGUCCACAUCGACGGGGAGGUUUGGCACCUCGAUGUCGGCUCAUCACAUCCUGGGGCUGUAGUAGGUCCCAAGGGUUGGGCUGUUCGCCCAUUAAAGUGGUACGCGAGCUGGGUUCAGAACGUCGUGAGACAGUUCGGUCCCUAUCCGUCGCAGGCGUAGGAAAUUUGAGAAGACCUGUCCUUAGUACGAGAGGACCGGGAUGGACGUACCUCUGGUGUACCAGUUGUCCUGCCAAGGGCAUGGCUGGGUAGCUAUGUACGGAAUGGAUAAGCGCUGAAAGCAUCUAAGCGCGAAGCCAACUUCAAGAUAAGAUUUCCCACCGCAAGGGUAAGACCCCAGAAAGACUAUCUGGUUGAUAGGUCGAAGGUGUAAGUGCAGCAAUGUAUUUAGCUUAUCGAUACUAAUAGGUCGAGGACUUGACCAAU
rnacentral:rRNA from 1 species